UACGAACCGAGCGAACGUUGUUCGGAAUCACUGGGCUUAAAGGGCGCGUAGGCGGGCUGCCGCGUCCGGGGUGAAAUCCCACGGCUCAACCGUGGAACGGCCCCGGGUACGGGCGGCCUCGAGGGGGGUAGGGGCGUGCGGAACUGUGGGUGGAGCGGUGAAAUGCGUUGAGAUCCACAGGAACUCCGGUGGCGAAGGCGGCACGCUGGACCCCCACUGACGCUGAGGCGCGAAAGCCAGGGGAGCGAACGGG
rnacentral:rRNA from 1 species